rnacentral:lncRNA from 1 species
AGGUAAAAUGCUUUAAUUGUUCUCAAAUUUGUUCUUACUUCAAUACCUUAUAGCGCAGAGAAGUUCUUAUUUGCUCAAACUAACUUGCUAUGGUUUUAACAGGAUUAGUAAAAAUACUAAAGAAGUAUGACAAAAGAACUGGCGCUCUCAUUCGGCUGCCCUUCAUCCAGAAGGUCUUGCAACAGCCGUUCUUCACCACAGACCUUCUUUACAAGCUCGUGAAAGAGUGCGAGACAAUGCUUGAUCGCCUUUUCCCAAAAUACGAACCACCAUCUUCGGUUGAAGCAGUUGAUGGGGAUGAAG